UGGCUUAGUGGUUAAAGCGCUUGGCUGCUAACCAAAAGGUCGGCACUUUGAAACUGCC
rnacentral:tRNA from 1 species